rnacentral:rRNA from 1 species
AGAACGAACGCUGGCGGCAUGCCUAACACAUGCAAGUCGAACGCUCUUGGGGCUUCGGUUCCAAGGGAGUGGCGCACGGGUGAGUAGCGCGUGGGAACCUGCCCUGGAGUGGGGGAUAACCGAGGGAAACUUCGGCUAAUACCGCAUACGCCGGGAAACCGGGAAAGAUUUAUCGCUCUAGGAGGGGCCCGCGUCGGAUUAGGUAGUUGGUGGGGUAACGGCUUACCAAGCCUGUGAUCCGUAGCUGGUCUGAGAGGAUGAUCAGCCACACUGGGACUGAGACACGGCCCAGACUCCUACGGGAGGCAGCAGUGGGGAAUAUUGGACAAUGGGCGCAAGCCUGAUCCAGCAAUGCCGCGUGAGUGAUGAAGGCCUUCGGGUUGUAAAGCUCUUUCGCACGCGAGGAUGAUGACGCUAGCGUGAGAAGAAGCCCCGGCUAACUUCGUGCCAGCAGCCGC